AUGGCAGGGAGCUCUGGAUCAAGGGCUGUCCGGGCAUACCGCUGUGGCAGAGCUGGCUCCGAGUCCACUCUGCUGUGGGGGCUGCACUGCCCUUCCUGCACCCCUGCUCUUAGGGCUCUCCCCCGCCUGCCUGUCUCUCUCCUCCACCUAUCUCGCUCCUCUACCUGUCUCACUCCUCCGCCUGUCUCACUGCUCCACCUGCCUGUCUCACUCCUCCACCUGCCUCACUCCUCCACCUUGUCUCACUCCUCCGCCUUGUCUCACUCCUCCGCCUGUCUCACUGCUCCACCUGCCUGUCUCACUCCUCCACCUGUCUCUCUCUUCCACCUGUCUCUCUCCUCCGCCUGUCUCACUCCUCCACCUGUCUGCCUGUCUCACUGCUCCACCUGCCUGUCUCACUCCUCCGCCUGUCUCUCUCUUCCACCUGUCUCUCUCCUCCGCCUGUCUCACUCCUCCACCUGUCUGCCUGUCUCACUGCUCCACCUGCCUGUCUCACUCCUCCACCUGUCUCUCUCCUCCACCUGUCUCUCUCCUCCGCCUGUCUCACUCCUCCACCUGCCUCACUCCUCUACCUGUCUCACUCCUCCGCCUGUCUCACUGCUCCACCUGCCUGUCUCACUGCUCCACCUGCCUGUCUCUCUCCUCCGCCUGUCUCUCUCUUCCACCUGUCUCUCUCCUCCGCCUGUCUCACUCCUCCACCUGUCUGCCUGUCUCACUCCUCCACCUGCCUCACUCCUCCGCCUUGUCUCACUCCUCCGCCUGUCUCUCUCCUCCGCCUGUCUGCCUGUCUCACUCCACCUGUCUCUCUCCUCCACCUGUCUCACUCCUCCGCCUGUCUCACUCUUCUGCCUGUCUGCCUGUCUCACUCCUCUGCCUGCCUAUCUCACUCCUCCACCUGUCUGUCUCACUCCUCUGCCUGUCUCUGCUCCACCUGUCUGCCUGUCUUACUCCUCCGCCUGCCUGUCUCACUCCUCCACCUGUCUGUUUCAUUCCCCUGCCUGUCCGCCUGUCUCACUUCUCUGCCUGUCUCACUCCGCUGCAUGCCUGUCUCACUGCUCCACCUGCCUCACUCCUCCACCUGCCUCACUCCUCCACCUGUCUGUUUCAUUCCCCUGCCUGUCCGCCUGUCUCACUUCUCUGCCUGUCUCACUCCGCUGCAUGCCUGUCUCACUGCUCCACCUGCCUCACUCCUCCACCUGCCUCACUCCUCCACCUGUCUGUUUCAUUCCCCUGCCUGUCCGCCUGUCUCACUUCUCUGCCUGUCUCACUCCGCUGCAUGCCUGUCUCACUGCUCCACCUGCCUCACUCCUCCACCUGCCUCACUCCUCCACCUGUCUCUCUCCUCUGCCUGUCUCACUCCUCCGCCUGUCUGCCUGUCUCCUCCACCUGUCUCACUCCUCUGCCUGUCUCACUCCUCUGCCUGCCUGUCUCACUGCUCCACCUGUCUGUUUCACUCCUCCACCUGUCUGUCUGUCUCACCCCUCCUCCUGUCUCAUUCCUGCACCUGCCUCUCUCACUCUGCCUGCCAGGGCCACAGGGAGGAGGGGCUCCUAG
ensembl:lncRNA